rnacentral:sRNA from 12 species
CACCUAACCCUGCUGCUUGCAGUAGGUAUGGUGUGAAAUCGCGCAAUACAGUAACCCCGUUAUCAGGGCGUAUUGCGCGUUGCGUAGGGAAACCUGCGUAUGAGCCGCAAGGCUCA